rnacentral:rRNA from 1 species
GACGAACGCUGGCGGCGUGCUUAACACAUGCCAGUCGAACGGAAAGGCCCUGCUUUUGUGGGGUGCUCGAGUGGCGAACGGGUGAGUAACACGUGAGUAACCUGCCCUUGACUUUGGGAUAACUUCAGGAAACUGGGGCUAAUACCGGAUAGGAGCUCCUGCUGCAUGGUGGGGGUUGGAAAGUUUCGGCGGUUGGGGAUGGACUCGCGGCUUAUCAGCUUGUUGGUGGGGUAGUGGCUUACCAAGGCUUUGACGGGUAGCCGGCCUGAGAGGGUGACCGGCCACAUUGGGACUGAGAUACGGCCCAGACUCCUACGGGAGGCAGCAGUGGGGAAUAUUGCACAAUGGGCGGAAGCCUGAUGCAGCAACGCCGCGUGCGGGAUGACGGCCUUCGGGUCGUAAACCGCUUUCGCCUGUGACGAAGCGUGAGUGACGGUAAUGGGUAAAGAAGCACCGGCUAACUACGUG